rnacentral:rRNA from 1 species
GACGAACGCUGGCGGCGUGCUUAACACAUGCAAGUCGAACGAAGUGGCGAACGGGUGAGUAACGCGUAAUCAACCUGCCCUUCAGAGGGGGACAACAGUUGGAAACGACUGCUAAUACCGCAUACGGCAGGAGGGGAAUGGGUUUGAUGAGCUAGUUGGAGGGGUAACGGCCACCUCAGGCGAUGAUCAGUAGCCGUUCUGAGAGGAUGAGCGGCCACAGUGGGACUGAGACACGGCCCAGACUCCUACGGGAGGCAGCAGUGGUGAAUCGUCCGUAAGUGACGAAAGUCUGACGGAGCAACGCCGCGUGAGGGAUGACGGCCAUCGGGUUGUAAAGCUCUGUUAAUCGGGACGCGGUACCGGAAUAGAAAGCCACGGCUAACUACGUGCCAGCCGCCGCGGUAAUAC